rnacentral:rRNA from 1 species
GAUGAACGCUAGCUACAGGCUUAACACAUGCAAGUCGAGGGAAAACGAUAUUGGAAGCUUGCUUCCGAUAGGCGUCGACCGGCGCACGGGUGAGUAACGCGUAUCCAACCUGCCCAUCACUUGGGGAUAACCUUGCGAAAGUAAGACUAAUACCCAAUGACGUCUCUAGAAGACAUCUGAAAGAGAUUAAAGAUUUAUCGGUGAUGGAUGGGGAUGCGUCUGAUUAGCUUGUUGGCGGGGUAACGGCCCACCAAGGCGACGAUCAGUAGGGGUUCUGAGAGGAAGGUCCCCCACAUUGGGACUGAGACACGGUCCAAACUCCUACGGGAGGCAGCAGUGAGGAAUAUUGGUCAAUGGACGAGAGUCUGAACCAGCCAAGUAGCGUGCGGGAUGACGGCCCUAUGGGUUGUAAACUGCUUUUAUAAGGGAAUAAAGUGAGAGUCGUGACUCUUUUUGCAUGUACCUUAUGAAUAAGGACCGGCUAAUUCCGUGCCAGCAGCCGCGGUAA